rnacentral:tRNA from 1 species
GCCUCAUUAGCUCAGUGGUAGAGCACUUGCUUCGUAAGCAAGGGGCCGGGGGUUCAAAUCCCUCAUGAGGCU